rnacentral:rRNA from 1 species
AUUGAACGCUGGCGGCAUGCUUUACACAUGCAAGUCGAACGGUAACAGCACUUCGGUGGCUGACGAGUGGCGAACGGGUGAGUAAUACAUCGGAACGUGCCUAGUAGUGGGGGAUAACUACUCGAAAGAGUAGCUAAUACCGCAUGAGAUCUAUGGAUGAAAGCAGGGGACCUUCGGGGCUUGCGCUACUAGAGCGGCUGAUGGCAGAUUAGGUAGUUGGUGGGAUAAAAGCUUACCAAGCCGACGAUCUGUAGCUGGUCUGAGAGGACGACCAGCCACACUGGGACUGAGACACGGCCCAGACUCCGACGGGAGGCAGCAGUGGGGAAUUUUGGACAAUGGGCGCAAGCCUGAUCCAGCAAUGCCGCGUGCAGGAUGAAGGCCUUCGGGUUGUAAACUGCUUUUGUACGGAACGAAAAGCCCUCUUCUAAUACAGGAGGGUCAUGACGGUACCGUAAGAAUAAGCACCGGCUAACUACGUG